ACACUGAGCGGAGGGUAGCCGAGCUGGUGCUAUCGUUCCCUUGCUCUGGUUACAGUCUCUUCUUCCUUCCCCUCACAUGUGAGCAGAGAGCAAACCAAACUGCCCCCAAGAAGGGUCUUCACAGGAACAAAACUUUGGAGUUGGUGAAUGCAAUGUGACCAGCCACCUCAUGCUCUUGCCACCAUGCUGGACUUCACCCUCACAACUGGAAGACAAAACAAGCCCUGCCUUGAAUUAUUUUCAUCAGGCAUUUUGUCCCAGCAGUGAAACAUGAACUAAUACAGUCUGUCUCCCAUGAGACUACAAAUGAGAGUUGACAAUCUGCAGCCCUCACCAGAACCCAACUAUGUUGCCAUCCUGAGCCUAAGCUUCCAGGCUCCAGACCUGAACUGAAGAAAUUCUGAAGACACCAUCUCCCAAAGUAAGAUGUCAGUUAGCAGUGAAAUUGAGAGGCAGAGGGAGGGAGAGGAGAAACCAAUAUCUGAUGUGCUUACAAAAUCCUGAUAUCAAUAAAGGAUUGACAAAUCUC
rnacentral:lncRNA from 1 species